UACGUAGGGUGCAAGCGUUGUCCGGAAUUAUUGGGCGUAAAGAGCUCGUAGGCGGUCUGUCGCGUCUGCUGUGAAAACUCAGGGCUUAACCCUGAGCUUGCAGUGGGUACGGGCAGACUAGAGUGCGGUAGGGGAGACUGGAAUUCCUGGUGUAGCGGUGAAAUGCGCAGAUAUCAGGAGGAACACCGGUGGCGAAGGCGGGUCUCUGGGCCGUAACUGACACUGAGGCGCGACAGCGUGGGGGAGCAAACAGG
rnacentral:rRNA from 1 species